UACGUAGGGGGCAAGCGUUAUCCGGAAUCAUUGGGCGUAAAGCGCGUGUAGGCGGUUCUGUAAGUCCGCUCUGAAAGCCCAGGGCUCAACCCUGGGAGGCGGGUGGAUACUACAGAACUGGAGUACGGAAGAGGAGAUUGGAAUUCCUGAUGUAGCGGUGAAAUGCGCAGAUAUCAGGAGGAACACCAACAGCGAAGGCAGAUCUCUGGGACGUUACUGACGCUGAGACGCGAAAGCGUGGGGAGCAAACAGG
rnacentral:rRNA from 1 species